rnacentral:rRNA from 1 species
AACGAACGCUGGCGGCAUGCCUAACACAUGCAAGUCGAACGAUUGCCUUCGGGUGAUAGUGGCGCACGGGUGCGUAACGCGUGGGAAUCUGCCCUUAGGUUCGGAAUAACAGCUGGAAACGGCUGCUAAUACCGGAUGAUAUCGCGAGAUCAAAGAUUUAUCGCCUGAGGAUGAGCCCGCGUUGGAUUAGGUAGUUGGUGGGGUAAAGGCCUACCAAGCCGACGAUCCAUAGCUGGUCUGAGAGGAUGAUCAGCCACACUGGGACUGAGACACGGACCAGACUCCUACGGGAGGCAGCAGUGGGGAAUAUUGGACAAUGGGCGCAAGCCUGAUCCAGCAAUGCCGCGUGAGUGAUGAAGGCCCUAGGGUUGUAAAGCUCUUUUACCCGGGAAGAUAAUGACUGUACCGGGAGAAUAAGCCCCGGCUAACUCCGUG